UACGUAGGGGGCAAGCGUUGUCCGGAUUUAUUGGGCGUAAAGCGCACGUAGGCGGAUUGCUAAGUCAGGGGUGAAAUCCUGGAGCUCAACUCCAGAACUGCCUUUGAUACUGGCGAUCUCGAGUUCGGGAGAGGUGAGUGGAACUGCGAGUGUAGAGGUGAAAUUCGUAGAUAUUCGCAAGAACACCAGUGGCGAAGGCGGCUCACUGGCCCGAUACUGACGCUGAGGUGCGAAAGCGUGGGGAGCAAACAGG
rnacentral:rRNA from 1 species